AAUAAAAAAGUGUAAAGUGGCACGUAGGGCUUUGGUCCCUAAAGAAGUAAUUCGAUUUGCUUUUUAUUA
rnacentral:tRNA from 1 species